rnacentral:rRNA from 1 species
GACGAACGCUGGCGGCGUGCCUAAUACAUGCAAGUCGAGCGAAGUUUUUCUGGUGCUUGCACCGGAAAAACUUAGCGGCGAACGGGUGAGUAACACGUAAAGAACCUGCCUUAUAGACUGGGACAACUAUUGGAAACGAUAGCUAAUACCGGAUAACAGCAUUAACUGCAUGGUUGAUGUUUGAAAGUUGGUUUUGCUAACACUAUGAGAUGGCUUUGCGGUGCAUUAGCUAGUUGGUGGGGUAAAGGCCUACCAAGGCGACGAUGCAUAGCCGACCUGAGAGGGUGAUCGGCCACACUGGGACUGAGGCACGGCCCAGACUCCUACGGGAGGCAGCAGUAGGGAAUCUUCCGCAAUGGGCGAAAGCCUGACGGAGCAACGCCGCGUGAGUGAAGAAGGAUUUCGGUUCGUAAAGCUCUGUUGUUAGGGAAGAAUGAUUGUGUAGUAACUAUACACAGUAGAGACGGUACCUAACCAGAAAGCCACGGCUAACUACGUG